rnacentral:misc_RNA from 1 species
AAUAAAACAAAACGUUAGGAUUAUUUUGUUAAUCAAACAAAACUUUAGAUAUUAAAUUAUUUUAAAUUAAAAGCAGUUAACCGUCAAUUUAAAAGGCAUGAGUUAAAUUUGUUAAUAACACUAAAUUUUGAGUACUAAAUUGUUAUGUUUUCGUUAUACUUUAGACUUAAUUGUAAAUUAUCGUAAAAUUCUAUAAUUUUUAAUUAAAGCCAAUUAAGCGAACGACGUCGCUGCAAUUUCAGCUGCUUUGGAUUUGUUUUUGGGCUUUGGGUCUUCUUCGUUAUACUUUGGGUCUUCUUCAGUCGCAAGCUCCAGCAAACA